AUUGAACGCUGGCGGCAGGCCUAACACAUGCAAGUCGAGCGGAGCGGCGGACGGGUGAGUAAUGCCUAGGAAUCUGUCUGGUAGUGGGGGAUAACGCCCGGAAACGGGCGCUAAUACCGCAUACUAUCAGAUGAGCCUAGGUCGGAUUAGCUAGUUGGUGGGGUAAAGGCCUACCAAGGCGACGAUCCGUAACUGGUCUGAGAGGAUGAUCAGUCACACUGGAACUGAGACACGGUCCAAACUCCUACGGGAGGCAGCAGUGAGGAAUAUUGGUCAAUGGGCGAGAGCCUGAACCAGCCAAGUAGCGUGCAGGAUGACGGCCUAUGGGUUGUAAACUGCUUUUAUGCGGGGAUAGGUACCGCAUGAAUAAUGACCGGCUAAUUCCGUGCCAGCAGCCGCGGUAAUAC
rnacentral:rRNA from 1 species